rnacentral:rRNA from 1 species
AUGCCACUGUCCGACUCAAAGAUUCGCAAGGUGGACUACCAACCAGCGCUCGACAAACUUUGCAACAAGAUGAAGGGUUGGAUCCGGAUACACUUCUCCAUGGAUGGUCGAAUUCUGCUGGUGAAGCAUGUGCUCUCUGCGAUGGUGGUUUUUCAGAUGAUGGUCGUUCAAAUGCCGGUGUGGUUGCGGAAGAAGAUUGAUAAGCUCAGGAGAGGCUUUCUCUGGGAAGGAAAAGAAUUUGCAGUGGGCGGCAAAUGUCUGGUGAGCUGGCGCAUAAUUUGCAGACCAAUGAUCUUCGGAGGGCUGGGGAUGACGGACUUGGCUGCGCAGAGCACAGCGCUGAGGCUGAGAUGGUUGUGGAUGUCCUGGACGGACCCAAGCAAGGCCUGGUUGGGGCUGCCUCUGCCCACCGAUGCUAGAGUUCAGGAGCUGUUCAUGGCUUCAGUUCAGUUCCAUCUUGGGGAUGGACAACGAAUUUGCUUCUGGACGGAGCCCUGGAUGCAUGGAAUAAGUUUCUGUCAUAGCUACCCAGCGUUGUUCAGUGUCUGCACCCGGAAACGGCUCACGGUGGCUCAAGCGCUUACCGGCGAUCGUUGGACGCGUCACCUAAGGGAGAAUCUGACGCCGCAGGCUGUCCGUGAGUUCACCGCCUUGUGGGUUCAGCUACAGGGCGUGGCACUAGGCUAG